rnacentral:sRNA from 1 species
AAGGAUUGAGAAGUUUUGCAGUGGUCAACUGGUAUAGACAUCCCAUUACCACUACUUCCUUCAUUGGACUGCAAGGUAUUUCUGUUUGGAAAAGUAAUGGAGUCCAGUCAACUUCAUUGAUCUCCAAGGACUGUCAAAAUUAUAAAACUUGCUGUGGAGCUCUGACAUGCCAGAAGCCGCUAGAAAAAGAAGUUUGACAUUCAGAAACUUAUCAAGAGGUUCUACUCUUUGGAUAGAGACCAAAAUAAUACUUUGAAAAAGCCUGACAGGUUUCUUCGGAAAAGUGGCCAUCCAUGGAAUGAAUGAAAUGUUCUCUUUCUAUUCCACCUCAAGAGACCAUCAAAAAACAAUGGCUCAUAAUGCUUUUAGAACAGAAACUGAAGUUGUGUACUGUGCAUGUAUAAUCCUACACAAGAGGAAGGCAAUGUUUAAAGCUGCUGUCACCUCUUAGGGAAAAAACUGGAAUUCUGAGUCAAGGGAUUGCAGUGGCAAAGCUAGGCUAGGUCUUGGAGGCUGGUGUAAGGCGAUGCGGGUGAAGGCAGGAGGCUGAUGGAAAGACUGGGGGGAAGAAAAGCCGAAAUGGAUUCACGGUGCCUUGGAUGAAGGACGAGAGGGGAACUGCAAGCUCCUUCAACUGGUUCUGUCCGGUGAGAAGUGAUCAAGCUUGGGCUGACA